CCUACGGGUGGCAGCAGUGAGGAAUAUUGGUCAAUGGACGAGAGUCUGAACCAGCCAAGUAGCGUGAAGGAUGACUGCCCUCUGGGUUGUAAACUUCUUUUAUAUGGGAAUAAAAUGUUCCACGUGUGGGAUUUUGUAUGUACCAUAUGAAUAAGGAUCGGCCAACUCCGUGCCAGCAGCCGCGGUAAUACGGAGGAUUCGAGCGUUAUCCGGAUUUAUUGGGUGUAAAGGGAGCGUAGGUGGAGUGUUAAGUCAGUUGUGAAAGUUUGCGGCUCAACCGUUAAAGUGCAGUUGAAACUGGCAGUCGUGAGUACAGUAGAGGUGGGCGGAAUUCGUGGUGUAGCGGUGAAAUGCGUAGAUAUAACGAAGAACUCCAAUUGCGAAGGCAGCUGACUGGACUGCAACUGACACUGAGGCUCGAAAGUGUGGGUAUCAAACAGGAUUAGAUACCCGAGUAGUC
rnacentral:rRNA from 1 species